rnacentral:rRNA from 1 species
GGACCCGCACAAGCGGUGGAUGAUGUGGAUUAAUUCGAUGCAACGCGAAAAACCUUACCUACCCUUGACAUGCCAGGAACUUGCCAGAGAUGGCUUGGUGCUCGAAAGAGAACCUGGACACAGGUGCUGCAUGGCUGUCGUCAGCUCGUGUCGUGAGAUGUUGGGUUAAGUCCCGCAACGAGCGCAACCCUUGUCACUAGUUGCUACGAAAGGGCACUCUAGUGAGACUGCCGGUGACAAACCGGAGGAAGGUGGGGAUGACGUCAAGUCCUCAUGGCCCUUAUGGGUAGGGCUUCACACGUCAUACAAUGGCCGGUACAGAGGGAAGCCAACCCGCGAGGGGGAGCCAAUCCCACAAAACCGGUCGUAGUCCGGAUUGCAGUCUGCAACUCGACUGCAUGAAGUCGGAAUCGCUAGUAAUCGCGGAUCAGCAUGUCGCGGUGAAUACGUUCCCGGGUCUU